rnacentral:rRNA from 1 species
AUUGAACGCUGGCGGCAUGCCUUACACAUGCAAGUCGAACGGUAACAGGUCUUCGGAUGCUGACGAGUGGCGAACGGGUGAGUAAUACAUCGGAACGUGCCCGAGAGUGGGGGAUAACGAGGCGAAAGCUUUGCUAAUACCGCAUACGAUCUCAGGAUGAAAGCAGGGGACCGCAAGGCCUUGCGCUCACGGAGCGGCCGAUGGCAGAUUAGGUAGUUGGUGGGAUAAAAGCUUACCAAGCCGACGAUCUGUAGCUGGUCUGAGAGGACGACCAGCCAAACUGGGACUGAGACACGGCCCAGACUCCUACGGGAGGCAGCAGUGGGGAAUUUUGGACAAUGGGCGCAAGCCUGAUCCAGCCAUGCCGCGUGCAGGAUGGGGGCCUUCGGGUUGUAAACUGCUUUUGUACGGAACGAAACGGCUCCUUCUAAUACAAGGGGCUAAUGACGGUACCGUAAGAAUAAGCACCGGCUAACUACGUGCCAGCAGCCGCGGUAAAAC